GGAGACCUGCCUGAGUGGUCGAUAGGGGCACCCUGCUAAGGUGUUGGCGGCUUUUGCCGCCCGGGAGUUCGAAUCUCCCGGUCUCCG
rnacentral:tRNA from 1 species